UGGGGAAUAUUGGACAAUGGGCGAAAGCCUGAUCCAGCCAUGCCGCGUGUGUGAAGAAGGUCUUCGGAUUGUAAAGCACUUUAAGUUGGGAGGAAGGGCAUUUACCUAAUACGUAAGUGUUUUGACGUUACCGACAGAAUAAGCACCGGCUAACUCUGUGCCAGCAGCCGCGGUAAUACAGAGGGUGCAAGCGUUAAUCGGAAUUACUGGGCGUAAAGCGCGCGUAGGUGGUUAGUUAAGUUGGAUGUGAAAUCCCCGGGCUCAACCUGGGAACUGCAUUCAAAACUGACUGACUAGAGUAUGGUAGAGGGUGGUGGAAUUUCCUGUGUAGCGGUGAAAUGCGUAGAUAUAGGAAGGAACACCAGUGGCGAAGGCGACCACCUGGACUGAUACUGACACUGAGGUGCGAAAGCGUGGGGAGCAAACAGGAUUAGAUACCCCUGUAGUCCCUGAGCGGGCUGGCAAGGCGCAU
rnacentral:rRNA from 1 species